rnacentral:rRNA from 1 species
UACGUAGGGUGCGAGCGUUAAUCGGAAUUACUGGGCGUAAAGCGCGCGUAGGUGGUUUGGUAAGCGAGAUGUGAAAGCCCCGGGCUCAACCUGGGAACCGCAUUUCGAACUGGCAAACUAGAGUCUUGUAGAGGGGGGUAGAAUUCCAGGUGUAGCGGUGAAAUGCGUAGAGAUCUGGAGGAAUACCGGUGGCGAAGGCGGCCCCCUGGACAAAGACUGACGCUCAGGCACGAAAGCGUGGGGAGCAAACAGG